rnacentral:lncRNA from 10 species
AUGCUGAUGAUUUCAUCCUUGAGGUGCUGAUGGUUCAUAUUAGUAUGGAAAGAAUGCAGAAACAGGAGUGAUAAGGGGGAACUGAGGACUAAAUUUUUCUAAAGGUCUUCCUAAGGUUCCUGGAAGAAGUCACGUUUAUAAGCCAGAACUUACAUAUCUUUCUGCUGUCCCAAAAUUUUUAAACAAAACUACUCUUCCUUAACCAACUGCAAAUCAGAAAAUCUUGGAAUCUACUUAUGACCUGUAAGCCUCCGCUUCAAGAUACCCCACCUUUUUAGACCAAAGCAAUGACUAACCUCCAUGUAUUGAGGUAUGAUUUUGCCUGUAACUUCUGCCUUCUUGAAAGUUACCCAUACCUUUAAAGACCCUUGCUUGCAAGCCACUGAGAAGAUGGGUCUAAAGUGUGCAUUGCCC